rnacentral:lncRNA from 1 species
GGAGGCCUUUCAUGUCAGACUGCAAUUUGUUAAUUUAGUUGGGCAAGGAAUAAUAGAAACACCAUUCAACUACUCAGGUUGUACAGAAAUCAGCAAUCAACUAUCUCAAGCAAUACAUCAAAUUAAUAAAACGCUCUCUUAAUUUCUAACUUCUCAAAAUUCUAGGGUUUCCCAUUAUCAAGAAUUAAUAUGCACAAUUACAAACAACCAAAGAAGCAAUACUAAACCCUGGAAGGGAAAAAAUCACCUGAACUAUUGUUGGGCGUCGAGAUCUGAAGGGGAGCGAUUGAGAUUCGUAGGAGGAAGAGAUGUGCGGAGAUUGAGAGAGUUGUGGGUGUGAUUGUUGUUGAGGUUGAUUGAAGAGGAAUCCAUGAUUGGAAUUUGGGUAUGGACAGGGAGGCUGAGACGAAUAUGACGUUGCUGAACCUAGAUCCUUGGAAGGCAAGUUGGACAUGAAAAUUUCGCUACGAAUUUUUCUCAAGGAUUUUUCUCAAGGGCAAAAAACUGGGCUUCGGUUCGCAUUCGUUAGCCUUUUAUUUGCAUGCAGACGCCCCUGUUCUUUGCCUAAACAGAUGUCCACAUCGAUUGACGUACACUUGCGGAGUAUUUAAUUUGCCAAAUAGUCCUCCACCUUUUCACUUAUUGGAGGCAACCCUUU